UAAAUACUUUUUAAAAUGUUCUUUCUCUGAUUUCUCAGGUACGGAACAUCUCCACAUCUAAAGACUUUUGUUCUAACAAAUGGCAUUUUGAAUCCAUCAUUAUUUUUCAGGCUUCUGGCACUGUUGUUGAAAAGGAGCAUCAGUAUUUUUCAGUGCGAAAAUCAGAGCUGCUUUGAAGUUACCCACGUGUGCUUUGACUCAGAAGACCUGUUCUCUGAAAGGCUUUCAUAUAGAUGUUGGAAGUGGUGCACAGAUUGUAUUAAAAUUUCAGUUUAUUCUAUCAAGUCUUUUAAUGAUACUUCACCAGGUCACGCUGUCGGUCAGUACUUUUGCUCAUUGAAGGAGACCAGUUCAGCGUUUGGUCUCUACAACAUACCUACUUAACGUUGUUUCCAUCCUGUAACUACUCAGGGAGACUUGUUCCCAUAAACCAGAGUUCUCUAAAAUCACCUGCUAACGUUGAACCAAAUUUGAGCAACCGUAUAGACACGUGGGCUCACAACAGCCAGCCACAGUAAAGAGAAAUAAAAUCAGGUGGCUUUAAAUCGGCAACAAUUUGAGGCAUGUCAGUGUAAACACCCAAGGCUGUAAAUAGAGCACUUGCAAAUUAAAGGUCUUUUGUGAAAGCGAAGAGAGGAAGCUGGCCUGCACCUGCGGAGGAUUGGCUGCAGAUCCUUCUUCUUUGCUACCGGACAGCAUCUCUAGAAUGAGAUGCUCUGAAAUUCCUAGGAAGGAGCCAAUAGGGAUCAAAAUUAUGUCUCAUUCCCUUAAAAAGGAAGAAAAACCCAACUGCCAAGAAGGCAGGUCAUGAGAAUCAAGGUAGGAAAGCUGUUUUCCACAUCUCAUUUGACGCAAACAAAUGGACGAGCAGUAUCACCGCUUCUUCAGGGUCUUCAGAAGCUUGAAAAGCUUUUCUUGAGCUGCGCCUGUCGUGGUGAAUGGAGGAGUGCAGAACAAUGACACGUUCUUCUGCUGAGCCGUUCAGACCUUCCAGGCCUGAAGGUGCAAGAACCAAGGCAUAGCUUAGAGUAGCCCUAAAGCUUCUUUAAGUUGUGCUUGGAAAACAGGUGUUUCUACAUGACAGUUGGAGUGGAAGGGAACAUUUUGGUGUGUUUAAAGCACGUUUAGUUCACACCAGCUUUUCUGUAAUUAUC
rnacentral:lncRNA from 1 species